UACGGAGGGGGCUAGCGUUGUUCGGAAUUACUGGGCGUAAAGCGCACGUAGGCGGCUUUGUAAGUCAGAGGUGAAAUCCCGGGGCUCAACUCCGGAACUGCCUUUGAGACUGCAUCGCUUGAAUCCGGGAGAGGUGAGUGGAAUUUCCGGUGUAGCGGUGAAAUGCGUAGAUAUCGGAAGGAACACCUGUGGCGAAAGCGGCUCACUGGACCAUAACUGACGCUGAGGCGCGAAAGCGUGGGGAGCAAACAGG
rnacentral:rRNA from 1 species